UGGAUUCGCUAGUAAUCGCGCAUCAGCCACGGCGCGGUGAAUACGUUCCCGGGCCUUGUACACACCGCCCGUCAAGCCAUGGAAGCCGGGAGUGCCUGAAGUACGCGACCGCAAGGAGCGUCCUAAGGUAAAACCGGUGACUGGGGCUAAGUCGUAACAAGGUAUC
rnacentral:rRNA from 1 species